ACAACCCCAGAUGGUACAACCUCUAACACACCUAGGCUAUAUGAUGUAGCCAAUUGCUCCUAGACUACAAAUCUAUACAGCAUGUUGCUGUACUGAAUACCCUAAGCAAUUAUAACACAAUGACCUAGCAACAGUAACAUAAGCAAAGGAGAGUCACGCCCAAAAUGGAAACCCAAAGCCAAAGUACCCCUUCAGACUCUACAUAUGACGUCUGAGAAUCAAGAGAAAGUGAAAGCUCUUCUCCGAGACCUGCAAGAACAAGAUGCUGAUGCUGGAUCUGAAAGAGGCAUUUCUGGGGAGGAGGAAGAUGAUGAGCCUGAUUGCUGUAACGAUGAGCGGUACUGGCCAGCUGGACAGGAACCUUCCCUCGUUCCCGACUUGGAUCCUUUGGAAUAUGCUGGCUUAGCCCCAGUGGAGCCUUAUGUUCCAGAAUUUACAGUCUCCCCAUUUGCAGUGCAAAAACUUUCCAGGUAUGGUUUCAAUAUUGAACGCUGUCAAGCAGUCCUGAGGAUGUGUGAUGGAGAUGUGGGAGCAUCACUAGAGCAUCUCCUUACCCAGUGUUUUUCAGAGACAUUUGGAGAGAGGAUGAAGAUCUCUGAGGCAGUCAACCAGAUAAGCUUGGAUGAGUGUAUGGAACAGCGACAGGAGGAGGCAUUUGCUCUCAAGUCCAUCUGUGGAGAAAAAUUUAUAGAAAGAAUUCAGAACAGAGUCUGGACCAUUGGGUUAGAACUGGAGUAUCUGACAAGUAGAUUCCGUAAAUCCAAGCCAAAAGAAAGUACCAAAAAUGUACAAGAGAGUUCACUCGAAAUCUGUAAAUUUUACCUCAAAGGAAAUUGUAAAUUUGGAUCAAAAUGCAAAUUCAAACAUGAAGUGCCCCCAAAUCAAAUUGUUGGAAGAAUAGAAAGGAGUGUAGAUGAUUCUCAUCUUAAUGCUAAUGAAGAUGCAUCUUUUUUAUAUGAACUUGAAAUUCGAUUUUCUAAAGACCACAAAUAUCCCUACCAAGCUCCCCUCGUGGCAUUUUAUUCCACCAAUGAGAACCUACCUCUGGCUUGUCGUUUACAUAUUUCUGAGUUUCUUUAUGACAAGGCCUUGACAUUUGCGGAAACUUCGGAACCUGUCGUAUAUUCUUUGAUAACCCUUUUAGAGGAAGAAUCGGAAAUAGUCAAGUUACUAACAAAUACCCAUCACAAGUAUAGUGUCCCUCCUGUGAACUUUCUGCCAGUACCCUCUAGGACCAGAGUAAAUAAUCCUGCCUGUCAUAAACCGGUGAUUCCAAAUAAUUCUUUUGUUUCUAAUCAAAUUCCAGAAGUUGAAAAAGAAUCAGAAUCUGAGGAGUCAGAUGAGGAUGACGGUCCUGCACCUGUUAUAGUAGAGAAUGAAAGCUAUGUGAACCUUAAGAAAAAGAUUUCCAAAAGAUAUGACUGGCAGGCAAAGUCAGUACAUGCUGAAAAUGGUAAAAUCUGCAAGCAGUUCCGAAUGAAACAGGUGCUCAAUAGCCACAUGUAGCCAGGUGUUGCUGUAUUGGACAGCACAAGUAUAGAACAUUUCCAUCAACACGGAAAGUUCUAUUGGACAGUACUGGUAUAGAGACUCUUGUUGGGAAGAACUGGAUAUGUGCUAAGCAAGAGGGCUUUAUUUCACCCAGAAAAUCUUUCGGUUUAUUCAGAUGUUGGAAAACUAUUUAAUGUACAGAUUCCACAACUCAUUCUGGCUGAUUCUCUGAGCAGCAUUCUGAAUAAAGUCUUCUACAUCCAAUCCCAACAAAUCCAACAAAGGAUUACUCAAGGCCAGGAGUGCAAGACCAUCCUGGGCAACAUAACAAGACUCUCUCUCUAUAAU
rnacentral:sRNA from 1 species